AUUUGGGAGCUUGCUCCCAUUGGUUAGCGGCGGACGGGUGAGUAACACGUGGGCAACCUGCCUGUAAGACUGGGAUAACUUCGGGAAACCGGAGCUAAUACCGGAUAAUUCAUUUCCUCUCAUGAGGAAAUGCUGAAAGACGGUUUCGGCGUGUCACUUACAGAUGGGCCCGCGGCGCAUUAGCUAGUUGGUGAGGUAACGGCUCACCAAGGCGACGAUGCGUAGCCGACCUGAGAGGGUGAUCGGCCACACUGGGACUGAGACACGGCCCAGACUCCUACGGGAGGCAGCAGUAGGGAAUCUUCCACAAUGGACGAAAGUCUGAUGGAGCAACGCCGCGUGAGCGAUGAAGGCCUUCGGGUCGUAAAGCUCUGUUGUUAGGGAAGAACAAGUACCGGAGUAACUGCCGGUACCUUGACGGUACCUAACCAGAAAGCCACGGCUAACUACGUGCCAGCAGCCGCGGUAAUACGUAGGUGGCAAGCGUUGUCCGGAAUUAUUGGGCGUAAAGCGCGCGCAGGCGGUCCUUUAAGUCUGAUGUGAAAGCCCACGGCUCAACCGUGGAGGGUCAUUGGAAACUGGGGGACUUGAGUGCAGAAGAUGAAAGCGGAAUUCCACGUGUAGCGGUGAAAUGCGUAGAGAUGUGGAGGAACACCAGUGGCGAAGGCGGCUUUCUGGUCUGUAACUGACGCUGAGGCGCGAAAGCGUGGGGAGCAAACAGGAUUAGAUACCCUGGUAGUCCACGCCGUAAACGAUGAGUGCUAAGUGUUAGGG
rnacentral:rRNA from 1 species